CGGCGGACGGGUGAGUAACGCGUGGGCAACCUGCCUCAUACAGGGGGAUAACAGUUGGAAACGGCUGCUAAUACCGCAUAAGCGCACAGUACCGCAUGGUACGGUGUGAAAAACUCCGGUGGUAUGAGAUGGACCCGCGUCUGAUUAGGUAGUUGGUGGGGUAACGGCCUACCAAGCCGACGAUCAGUAGCCGACCUGAGAGGGUGACCGGCCACAUUGGGACUGAGACACGGCCCAA
rnacentral:rRNA from 1 species